AUGAACGCUGGCGGCGUGCCUAAUACAUGCCAGUCGAGCGAACAGAUGAGGAGCUUGCUCCUCUGACGUUAGCGGCGGACGGGUGAGUAACACGUGGAUAACCUACCUAUAAGACUGGGAUAACUUCGGGAAACCGGAGCUAAUACCGGAUAAUAUAUUGAACCGCAUGGUUCAAUAGUGAAAGACGGUUUUGCUGUCACUUAUAGAUGGAUCCGCGCCGCAUUAGCUAGUUGGUAAGGUAACGGCUUACCAAGGCAACGAUGCGUAGCCGACCUGAGAGGGUGAUCGGCCACACUGGAACUGAGACACGGUCCAGACUCCUACGGGAGGCAGCAGUAGGGAAUCUUCCGCAAUGGGCGAAAGCCUGACGGAGCAACGCCGCGUGAGUGAUGAAGGUCUUCGGAUCGUAAAACUCUGUUAUUAGGGAAGAACAAAUGUGUAAGUAACUAUGCACGUCUUGACGGUACCUAAUCAGAAAGCCAUGGCUAACUACGUG
rnacentral:rRNA from 1 species